rnacentral:rRNA from 1 species
CAGCCGCCGCGGUAAUACGAAGGGUGCAAGCGUUACUCGGAAUUACUGGGCGUAAAGCGUGCGUAGGUGGUGGUUUAAGUCCGUUGUGAAAUCCCCGGGCUCAACCUGGGAACUGCAUUCGUGACUGGCAAGCUAGAGUGUGGCAGAGGGGGGUGGAAUUCCGCGUGUAGCAGUGAAAUGCGUAGAUAUGCGGAGGAACACCGAUGGCGAAGGCAGCCCCCUGGGCCAACACUGACGCUCAUGCACGAAAGCGUGGGGAGCAAACAGGAUUAGAUACCCCGGUAGUCCCUGUCUCUUAUAC